GACGAACGCUGGCGGCGUGCUUAACACAUGCAAGUCGAACGGAAAGGCCCUGCUUUUGUGGGGUGCUCGAGUGGCGAACGGGUGAGUAACACGUGAGUAACCUGCCCUUGACUUUGGGAUAACUUCAGGAAACUGGGGCUAAUACCGGAUAGGAGCUCCUGCUGCAUGGUGGGGGUUGGAAAGUUUCGGUGGUGGGGGAUGGACUCGCGGCUUAUCAGCUUGUUGGGGGGGUAGUGGCUUACCAAGGCUUUGACGGGUAGCCGGCCUGAGAGGGUGACCGGCCACAUGGGGACUGAGGUACGGCCCAGACUGCUACGGGAGGCAGCAGUGGGGAAUAUUGCACAAUGGGCGGAAGCCUGAUGCAGCAACGCCGCGUGCGGGAUGACGGCCUUCGGGUUGUAAACCGAUUUCGCCUGUGACGAAGCGUGAGUGACGGUAAUGGGUAAAGAAGCACCGGCUAACUACGUG
rnacentral:rRNA from 1 species